rnacentral:rRNA from 1 species
GACGAACGCUGGCGGCGUGCUUAACACAUGCAAGUCGAACGGCAAGGCCCUGCUUUUGUGGGGUGCUCGAGUGGCGAACGGGUGAGUAACACGUGUGUAACCUGCCCUUGACUUUGGGAUAACUUCAGGUAACUGGGGUUAAUACCGGAUAGGAGCUCCUGCUGCAUGGUGGGGGUUGGAAAGUUUCGGCGGUUGGGGAUGGACUCGCGGCUUAUCAGCUUGUUGGUGGGGUAGUGGCUUACCAAGGCUUUGACGGGUAGCCGGCCUGAGAGGGUGACCGGCCACAAUGGGACUGCGAUACGGCCCAGACGCCAACGGGAGGCAGCAGUGGGGAAUAUGGCACAAUGGGCGGAAGCCUGAUGCAGCAACGCCGCGUGCGGGAUGACGGCCUUCGGGUUGUAAACCGCUUUCGCCUGAGACGAAGCGUGAGUGACGGUAAUGGGUAAAGAAGCACCGGCUAACUACGUG